rnacentral:tRNA from 1 species
CCACGGGUAGCUUAAGGUUUAAAGUUCAGGAUUCUUACUCCUGUGAUGUCUUGUGAUUUGGGACUCUG